UUAAGCCAUGCGAGUCGAACGAGUUUAGGCUCGUGGCGUACGGCUCAGUAACACGUGGAUAACCUACCCUUAGGAUCGGGAUAACCUUGGGAAACUGAGGAUAAUACUGGAUAGGCAAUUAUUCCUGCAAUGGUUUUUUGUUUAAAUGUUUUUUCGCCUAAGGAUGGGUCUGCGGCCGAUUAGAUAGUUGGUUAGGUAAUGGCCUACCAAGCCGUUGAUCGGUACGGGUUGUGAGAGCAAGAGCCCGGAGAUGGAACCUGAGACAAGGUUCCAGGCCCUACGGGGUGCAGCAGGCGCGAAACCUCCGCAAUGUGAGAAAUCGCGACGGGGGGAUUCCAAGUGCCAUUCUUAACGGGAUGGCUUUUCAUUAGUGUAAAGAGCUUUUGGAAUAAGGGCUGGGCAAGACCGGUGCCAGCCGCCGCGGUAA
rnacentral:rRNA from 1 species